rnacentral:misc_RNA from 1 species
AACACUGUUAACCUGCGGUACCUGCGGAGGGAUCAUUACACAAUAAACAUAUGAAGGCUGCACCGCCAACAGGCGGCAAGGCUGGAGUAUUUUAUUACCCUUGUCUUUUGCGCACUUGUUGUUUCCUGGGCGGGUUCGCCCGCCUCCAGGACCACAUGAUAAACCUUUUUUAUGCAGUUGCAAUCAGCGUCAGUACAACAAAUGUAAAUCAUUUACAACUUUUAACAAUGGAUCUCAGAU